rnacentral:rRNA from 1 species
GGGUUGUGAGGUUAAGCGACUAAGCGUACACGGUGGAUGCCCUGGCAGUCAGAGGCGAUGAAGGACGUGCUAAUCUGCGAAAAGCGUCGGUAAGGUGAUAUGAACCGUUAUAGCCGGCGAUGUCCGAAUGGGGAAACCCAGUGUGAUUCGUCACACUAUCGUUAACUGAAUACAUAGGUUAACGAGGCGAACCGGGGGAACUGAAACAUCUAAGUACCCCGAGGAAAAGAAAUCAACCGAGAUUCCCCCAGUAGCGGCGAGCGAACGGGGAGCAGCCCAGAGUCUGAAUCAGCUUGUGUGUUAGUGGAACGGUCUGGAAAGUCCGACGGUACAGGGUGAUAGUCCCGUACACCAAAAUGCACAGGUUGUGAACUCGAAGAGUAGGGCGGGACACGUGGUAUCCUGUCUGAAUAUGGGGGGACCAUCCUCCAAGGCUAAAUACUCCUGACUGACCGAUAGUGAACCAGUACCGUGAGGGAAAGGCGAAAAGAACCCCGGCGAGGGGAGUGAAAAAGAACCUGAAACCGUGUACGUACAAGCAGUGGGAGCACCUUCGGGUGUGACUGCGUACCUUUUGUAUAAUGGGUCAGCGACUUAUAUUCUGUAGCAAGGUUAACCGUAUAGGGGAGCCGCAGGGAAACCGAGUCUUAACUGGGCGUUAAGUUGCAGGGUAUAGACCCGAAACCCGGUGAUCUAGCCAUGGGCAGGUUGAAGGUUGGGUAACACUAACUGGAGGACCGAACCGACUAAUGUUGAAAAAUUAGCGGAUGACUUGUGGCUGGGGGUGAAAGGCCAAUCAAACCGGGAGAUAGCUGGUUCUCCCCGAAAGCUAUUUAGGUAGCGCCUCGUGAAUUCAUCUUCGGGGGUAGAGCACUGUUUCGGCUAGGGGGUCAUCCCGACUUACCAACCCGAUGCAAACUACGAAUACCGAAGAAUGUUAUCACGGGAGACACACGGCGGGUGCUAACGUCCGUCGUGAAGAGGGAAACAACCCAGACCGCCAGCUAAGGUCCCAAAGUCAUGGUUAAGUGGGAAACGAUGUGGGAAGGCACAGACAGCCAGGAUGUUGGCUUAGAAGCAGCCAUCAUUUAAAGAAAGCGUAAUAGCUCACUGGUCGAGUCGGCCUGCGCGGAAGAUGUAACGGGGCUAAACCAUGCACCGAAGCUGCGGCAGCGACACUAUGUGUUGUUGGGUAGGGGAGCGUUCUGUAAGCCUGCGAAGGUGUGCUGUGAGGCAUGCUGGAGGUAUCAGAAGUGCGAAUGCUGACAUAAGUAACGAUAAAGCGGGUGAAAAGCCCGCUCGCCGGAAGACCAAGGGUUCCUGUCCAACGUUAAUCGGGGCAGGGUGAGUCGACCCCUAAGGCGAGGCCGAAAGGCGUAGUCGAUGGGAAACAGGUUAAUAUUCCUGUACUUGGUGUUACUGCGAAGGGGGGACGGAGAAGGCUAUGUUAGCCGGGCGACGGUUGUCCCGGUUUAAGCAUGUAGGCUGAUUGUCCAGGCAAAUCCGGAUAAUCAAGGCUGAGGUGUGAUGACGAGGCACUACGGUGCUGAAGUAACAAAUGCCCUGCUUCCAGGAAAAGCCUCUAAGCAUCAGGUAACAUUAAAUCGUACCCCAAACCGACACAGGUGGUCAGGUAGAGAAUACCAAGGCGCUUGAGAGAACUCGGGUGAAGGAACUAGGCAAAAUGGUGCCGUAACUUCGGGAGAAGGCACGCUGGUGUGUAGGUGAAGUCCCUGCGGAUGGAGCUGAGACCAGUCGAAGAUACCAGCUGGCUGCAACUGUUUAUUAAAAACACAGCACUGUGCAAACACGAAAGUGGACGUAUACGGUGUGACGCCUGCCCGGUGCCGGAAGGUUAAUUGAUGGGGUUAUCCGUAAGGAGAAGCUCUUGAUCGAAGCCCCGGUAAACGGCGGCCGUAACUAUAACGGUCCUAAGGUAGCGAAAUUCCUUGUCGGGUAAGUUCCGACCUGCACGAAUGGCGUAAUGAUGGCCAGGCUGUCUCCACCCGAGACUCAGUGAAAUUGAACUCGCUGUGAAGAUGCAGUGUACCCGCGGCAAGACGGAAAGACCCCGUGAACCUUUACUAUAGCUUGACACUGAACAUUGAGCCUUGAUGUGUAGGAUAGGUGGGAGGCUUUGAAGCGUGGACGCCAGUCUGCGUGGAGCCAACCUUGAAAUACCACCCUUUAAUGUUUGAUGUUCUAACGUUGGCCCCUUACCGGGGUUGCGGACAGUGUCUGGUGGGUAGUUUGACUGGGGCGGUCUCCUCCCAAAGCGUAACGGAGGAGCACGAAGGUUAGCUAAUCCUGGUCGGACAUCAGGAGGUUAGUGCAAUGGCAUAAGCUAGCUUGACUGCGAGCGUGACGGCGCGAGCAGGUGCGAAAGCAGGUCAUAGUGAUCCGGUGGUUCUGAAUGGAAGGGCCAUCGCUCAACGGAUAAAAGGUACUCCGGGGAUAACAGGCUGAUACCGCCCAAGAGUUCAUAUCGACGGCGGUGUUUGGCACCUCGAUGUCGGCUCAUCACAUCCUGGGGCUGAAGUAGGUCCCAAGGGUAUGGCUGUUCGCCAUUUAAAGUGGUACGCGAGCUGGGUUUAGAACGUCGUGAGACAGUUCGGUCCCUAUCUGCCGUGGGCGCUGGAGAAUUGAGGGGGGCUGCUCCUAGUACGAGAGGACCGGAGUGGACGCAUCACUGGUGUUCGGGUUGUCAUGCCAAUGGCACUGCCCGGUAGCUAAAUGCGGAAGAGAUAAGUGCUGAAAGCAUCUAAGCACGAAACUUGCCCCGAGAUGAGUUCUCCCUGAGACUUUAAGUCUCCUGAAGGAACGUUGAAGACGACGACGUUGAUAGGCCGGGUGUGUAAGCGCAGCGAUGCGUUGAGCUAACCGGUACUAAUGAACCGUGAGGCUUAACCUUACAACGCCGAAG